rnacentral:snRNA from 1 species
GGAUGUGAGGGCAAUCUGGCUGUGACAUCUGUCACCCCAUUGAUCGCCAGGGUUGAUUCGGCUGAUCUGGCUGCCUAGGCUGGUGUCCCCUUCCUCCCUCACCGCUCCAUGUGUUUCCCUACCGAAUCAGUGCGCUUGGUUGAAGAGGACAACCUUCCCCGAAUAGAGAUGGACCAGUCUUCAGUCGAGGGUAUACAAGUAGCUGCGCUCCCCUGCUAGAACCUCCAAACAAGCUCUCAAAGAGGUCUAUUUUUUAAAAAAAAAAUUAUUGUUGUGAUUAUUAUUGAUGUUGUCAUUGUUGGU